rnacentral:rRNA from 1 species
ACGGAAGGCAGCAGUGAGGAAUAUUGGUCAAUGGACGGAAGUCUGAACCAGCCAAGUAGCGUGCAGGAUGACGGCCCUAUGGGUUGUAAACUGCUUUUUUAGGGGAAUAAAGUUAGCCACGUGUGGUUAUUUGCAUGUACCCUACGAAUAAGGACCGGCUAAUUCCGUGCCAGCAGCCGCGGUAAUACGGAAGGUCCGGGCGUUAUCCGGAUUUAUUGGGUUUAAAGGGAGCGCAGGCCGUUUGGUAAGCGUGUUGUGAAAUGUCCGGGCUCAACCUGGGCACUGCAGCGCGAACUGCCAGACUUGAGUGCACAGGAAGCGGGCGGAAUUCGUGGUGUAGCGGUGAAAUGCUUAGAUAUCACGAAGAACUCCAAUUGCGAAGGCAGCUCGCUGUAGUGUUACUGACGCUAAAGCUCGAAAGUGCGGGUAUCGAACAGGAUUAGAUACCCUGGUA